GUGAAUCAUCGAAUCUUUGAACGCAAAUUGCACUCUCCUCGGAGAGUAUGCCUGUUUGAGGGUCAGUAUAUAAAAAAUAGACAAUGUUGCUGCUUCGCGGUGACGUUCGUCGGAAAUUGGGUUAUGUUACAUUUUUUUGGAUUUAAGCGACUUAAAAAUUUCUUUUUGGUUCUAUGAUUGUUUCUAAGACUUACUUAUUUAACAGUUUAAGGUGUUG
rnacentral:misc_RNA from 1 species